GACGAACGCUGGCGGCGUGCUUAACACAUGCAAGUCGAACGAUGAAGCCUAGCUUGCUAGGUGGAUUAGUGGCGAACGGGUGAGUAAUACGUGAGUAACCUACCUUUAACUCUGGGAUAAGCCUGGGAAACUGGGUCUAAUACCGGAUACGACCAAUCUCCGCAUGGGGUGUUGGUGGAAGGCGUUAUGUAGUGGUUAUAGAUGGGCUCACGGCCUAUCAGCUUGUUGGUGAGGUAACGGCUCACCAAGGCGACGACGGGUAGCCGGCCUGAGAGGGUGACCGGCCACACUGGGACUGAGACACGGCCCAGACUCCUACGGGAGGCAGCAGUGGGGAAUAUUGCACAAUGGGCGCAAGCCUGAUGCAGCGACGCCGCGUGAGGGAUGACGGCCUUCGGGUUGUAAACCUCUGUUAGCAGGGAAGAAGAGAGAUUGACGGUACCUGCAGAGAAAGCGCCGGCUAACUACGUGCCAGCAGCCGCGGUAAUACGUAGGGCGCGAGCGUUGUCCGGAAUUAUUGGGCGUAAAGAGCUUGUAGGCGGUUUGUCGCGUCUGCUGUGAAGGCCGGGGCUUAACCCCGUGUAUUGCAGUGGGUACGGGCAGACUAGAGUGCAGUAGGGGAGACUGGAAUUCCUGGUGUAGCGGUGGAAUGCGCAGAUAUCAGGAGGAACACCGAUGGCGAAGGCAGGUCUCUGGGCUGUAACUGACGCUGAGAAGCGAAAGCAUGGGGAGCGAACAGGAUUAGAUACCCUGGUAGUCCAUGCCGUAAACGUUGGGCACUAGGUGUGGGGGACAUUCCACGUUUUCCGCGCCGUAGCUAACGCAUUAAGUGCCCCGCCUGGGGAGUACGGCCGCAAGGCUAAAACUCAAAGAAAUUGACGGGGGCCCGCACAAGCGGCGGAGCAUGCGGAUUAAUUCGAUGCAACGCGAAGAACCUUACCAAGGCUUGACAUAUACUGGACCGCAUCAGAGAUGGUGUUUCCCUUCGGGGCUGGUAUACAGGUGGUGCAUGGUUGUCGUCAGCUCGUGUCGUGAGAUGUUGGGUUAAGUCCCGCAACGAGCGCAACCCUCGUUCUAUGUUGCCAGCACGUUAUGGUGGGGACUCAUAGGAGACUGCCGGGGUCAACUCGGAGGAAGGUGGGGAUGACGUCAAAUCAUCAUGCCCCUUAUGUCUUGGGCUUCACGCAUGCUACAAUGGCCGGUACAGAGGGUUGCGAUACUGUGAGGUGGAGCUAAUCCCUAAAAGCCGGUCUCAGUUCGGAUUGGGGUCUGCAACUCGACCCCAUGAAGUCGGAGUCGCUAGUAAUCGCAGAUCAGCAACGCUGCGGUGAAUACGUUCCCGGGCCU
rnacentral:rRNA from 1 species